ACUCCUGCGGGAGGCAGCAGUGGGGAAUAUUGGACACUGGGCGCAAGCCUGAUCCAGCCAUGCCGCGUGAGUGAUGAAGGCCCUAGGGUUGUAAAGCUCUUUCACCGGUGAAGAUAAUGACGGUAACCGGAGAAGAAGCCCCGGCUAACUUCGUGCCAGCAGCCGCGGUAAUACGAAGGGGGCUAGCGUUGUUCGGAUUUACUGGGCGUAAAGCGCACGUAGGCGGACUAUUAAGUCAGGGGUGAAAUCCCGGGGCUCAACCCCGGAACUGCCUUUGAUACUGGUAGUCUUGAGUUCGAGAGAGGUGAGUGGAAUUCCGAGUGUAGAGGUGAAAUUCGUAGAUAUUCGGAGGAACACCAGUGGCGAAGGUGGCUCACUGGCUCGAUACUGACGCUGAGGUGCGAAAGCGUGGGGAGCAAACAGGAUUAGAAACCCCAGUAGUCCAUG
rnacentral:rRNA from 1 species